rnacentral:rRNA from 1 species
UGAGGUCACGCCAAGACGAGCCGUUUUUUCACGAUAGGUGCCAAGUGGAAGUGCAGUAAUGUAUGUAGCUCAGGCAUCCUAACAGACCGAGAGAUUUGAAC